UACAGAGGGUGCGAGCGUUAAUCGGAAUUACUGGGCGUAAAGCGCACGUAGGCGGCUUCGUAAGUCGGUUGUGAAAUCCCCGGGCUCAACCUGGGAACUGCAUUCGAGACUGCGAUGCUUGAGUAUGGGAGAGGACAGCGGAAUUCCGGGUGUAGCGGUGAAUUGCGUAGAUAUCCGGAGGAACAUCAGUGGCGAAGGCGGCUGUCUGGCCCAAUACUGACGCUCAGGUGCGAAAGCGUUGGGAGCAAAAAGG
rnacentral:rRNA from 1 species